rnacentral:rRNA from 1 species
UACGGAGGGGGCUAGCGUUGUUCGGAAUUACUGGGCGUAAAGCGUGCGCAGGCGGUUUUGUAAGACUGUCGUGAAAUCCCCGGGCUUAACCUGGGAAUUGCGAUGGUGACUGCAAGGCUAGAGUUUGGCAGAGGGGGGUAGAAUUCCACGUGUAGCAGUGAAAUGCGUAGAGAUGUGGAGGAACACCGAUGGCGAAGGCAGCCCCCUGGGUCAAGACUGACGCUGUGGCGCGAAAGCUAGGGGAGCGAACGGG